GGGAGUGAAAAAGAACCUGAAACCGUGUACGUACAAGCAGUGGGAGCACAGGUUUACCUGUGUGACUGCGUACCUUUUGUAUAAUGGGUCAGCGACUUAUAUUCUGUAGCAAGGUUAACCGUAUAGGGGAGCCGAAGGGAAACCGAGUCUUAACCGGGCGUUAAGUUGCAGGGUAUAGACCCGAAACCCGGUGAUCUAGCCAUGGGCAGGUUGAAGGUUGGGUAACACUAACUGGAGGACCGAACCGACUAAUGUUGAAAAAUUAGCGGAUGACCUGUGGCUGGGGGUGAAAGGCCAAUCAAACCGGGAGAUAGCUGGUUCUCCCCGAAAGCUAUUUAGGUAGCGCCUCGUGAAUUCAUCUCCGGGGGUAGAGCACUGUUUCGGCUAGGGGGCCAUCCCGGCUUACCAACCCGAUGCAAACUGCGAAUACCGGAGAAUGUUAUCACGGGAGACACACGGCGGGUGCUAACGUCCGUCGUGAAGAGGGAAACAACCCAGACCGCCAGCUAAGGUCCCAAAGUCAUGGUUAAGUGGGAAACGAUGUGGGAAGGCCCAGACAGCCAGGAUGUUGGCUUAGAAGCAGCCAUCAUUUAAAGAAAGCGUAAUAGCUCACUGGUCGAGUCGGCCUGCGCGGAAGAUGUAACGGGGCUAAACCAUGCACCGAAGCUGCGGCAGCGACACUCAGGUGUUGUUGGGUAGGGGAGCGUUCUGUAAGCCUGUGAAGGUGUGUCGUGAGGCAUGCUGGAGGUAUCAGAAGUGCGAAUGCUGACAUAAGUAACGAUAAAGCGGGUGAAAAGCCCGCUCGCCGGAAGACCAAGGGUUCCUGUCCAACGUUAAUCGGGGCAGGGUGAGUCGACCCCUAAGGCGAGGCCGAAAGGCGUAGUCGAUGGGAAACGGGUUAAUAUUCCCGUACUUGGUGUUACUGCGAAGGGGGGACGGAGAAGGCUAUGUUGGCCGGGCGACGGUUGUCCCGGUUUAAGCGUGUAGGUGUGUGUUCCAGGUAAAUCCGGUUCACUUUAACACUGAGGCGUGACGACGAGGCACUACGGUGCUGAAGCAACAAAUGCCCUGCUUCCAGGAAAAGCCUCUAAGCAUCAGGUAACAUCAAAUCGUACCCCAAACCGACACAGGUGGUCAGGUAGAGAAUACCAAGGCGCUUGAGAGAACUCGGGUGAAGGAACUAGGCAAAAUGGUGCCGUAACUUCGGGAGAAGGCACGCUGACACGUAGGUGAAGUGAUUUACUCAUGGAGCUGAAGUCAGUCGAAGAUACCAGCUGGCUGCAACUGUUUAUUAAAAACACAGCACUGUGCAAACACGAAAGUGGACGUAUACGGUGUGACGCCUGCCCGGUGCCGGAAGGUUAAUUGAUGGGGUCAGCGCAAGCGAAGCUCCUGAUCGAAGCCCCGGUAAACGGCGGCCGUAACUAUAACGGUCCUAAGGUAGCGAAAUUCCUUGUCGGGUAAGUUCCGACCUGCACGAAUGGCGUAAUGAUGGCCAGGCUGUCUCCACCCGAGACUCAGUGAAAUUGAACUCGCUGUGAAGAUGCAGUGUACCCGCGGCAAGACGGAAAGACCCCGUGAACCUUUACUAUAGCUUGACACUGAACAUUGAGCCUUGAUGUGUAGGAUAGGUGGGAGGCUUUGAAGUGUGGACGCCAGUCUGCAUGGAGCCGACCUUGAAAUACCACCCUUUAAUGUUUGAUGUUCUAACGUGGACCCGUGAUCCGGGUUGCGGACAGUGUCUGGUGGGUAGUUUGACUGGGGCGGUCUCCUCCUAAAGAGUAACGGAGGAGCACGAAGGUUGGCUAAUCCUGGUCGGACAUCAGGAGGUUAGUGCAAUGGCAUAAGCCAGCUUGACUGCGAGCGUGACGGCGCGAGCAGGUGCGAAAGCAGGUCAUAGUGAUCCGGUGGUUCUGAAUGGAAGGGCCAUCGCUCAACGGAUAAAAGGUACUCCGGGGAUAACAGGCUGAUACCGCCCAAGAGUUCAUAUCGACGGCGGUGUUUGGCACCUCGAUGUCGGCUCAUCACAUCCUGGGGCUGAAGUAGGUCCCAAGGGUAUGGCUGUUCGCCAUUUAAAGUGGUACGCGAGCUGGGUUUAGAACGUCGUGAGACAGUUCGGUCCCUAUCUGCCGUGGGCGCUGGAGAACUGAGGGGGGCUGCUCCUAGUACGAGAGGACCGGAGUGGACGCAUCACUGGUGUUCGGGUUGUCAUGCCAAUGGCACUGCCCGGUAGCUAAAUGCGGAAGAGAUAAGUGCUGAAAGCAUCUAAGCACGAAACUUGCCCCGAG
rnacentral:rRNA from 1 species